rnacentral:rRNA from 1 species
GACGAACGCUGGCGGCGUGCCUAAUACAUGCAAGUAGAACGCUGAAGGAGGAGCUUGCUCUUCUGGAUGAGUUGCGUACGGGUGAGUAACGCGUAGGUAACCUGCCUGGUAGCGGGGGAUAACUAUUGGAAACGAUAGCUAAUACCGCAUAAGAGUAGAUGUUGCAUGACAUUUACUUAAAAGGUGCAAUUGCAUCACUACCAGAUGGACCUGCGUUGUAUUAGCUAGUUGGUGGGGUAACGGCUUACCAAGGCGACGAUACAUAGCCGACCUGAGAGGGUGAUCGGCCACACUGGGACUGAGACACGGCCCAGACUCCUACGGGAGGCAGCAGUAGGGAAUCUUCGGCAAUGGACGGAAGUCUGACCGAGCAACGCCGCGUGAGUGAAGAAGGUUUUCGGAUCGUAAAGCUCUGUUGUAAGAGAAGAACGAGUGUGAGAGUGGAAAGUUCACACUGUGACGGUAUCUUACCAGAAAGGGACGGCUAACUACGUG